CACCAAGCCUGUAGCUCUAGAAAUCACAAAAGGACUGGACCCUGUUCUUUAAAAGGCAAAGCAUGAGUCUAACACAAAACCACAGAGAGGAUCCAGCGGACUUCACGGGUGUAAUUUUGAAGAGUUCUAGGGAAUCAUUUUGUAAAAGACCCAGUUAACAGGUCAGUCAUAGGACCUGCGUUUGAGACGUGCCCUGUUGAUACCUGGAGGAAAGAAACGUCCUUAUCUCUGAAGACACAAGACUUCAGAGAUAGAUCUGAACAAACACCUCUUCGGCUGCCGAGUGUCUGACGGGACAAAUCCUUCCAACGGCCGCAGCAGGUGCUUCUUCUAGCCCUGUGUUGCAAUGACCUGCAGCUCCUGGGGAUAACUCAGGCACGCUGCUGACGCCAUCAGGAGGCUCAACACCCUCACCCGCUUACGCUACGACCAGCAAAAGCAAACCCCGCAGCUGCCUGCCAGCCGGGAAGAAGGACUGUGUUUCCAUGUUGUGAGUCUCCUCAUUGCAGCCAGAUGAUGAAUUUGCUGCUGGCUUUGUGCGAAACCGAGAAAUACCCAGCGUCCAGCUGAGGGCCCGGGUGGCAACAAAAUCAAGCUGAUGAAUUAAAGAAAUAUGGCCUGGUCAGGAUGCCUGGAGGCCUCAGAGUUCUGAUCUUUCUUCUGAGUUACUACAUCUUCUGAACUGCUCCCAGGAUGGUGUUUGUGAUAAGUUGGUUUGCCCAGUAAAACUGUCGCCCAGUGGAGGCAAGCCCUACCUCCUGUCCUUUCUCAUGCAGUGGUGUGGAGCGUGGUGGGGAAGAAAGGGCGUUCGACAGCAAGUCAAAAACUUUGGAUUUCAUUUGUGG
rnacentral:lncRNA from 1 species